rnacentral:rRNA from 1 species
UACAGAGGUCCCAAGCGUUGUUCGGAUUCAUUGGGCGUAAAGGGUGCGUAGGCGGCGCGGGAAGUCGGGUGUGAAAUCUCGGAGCUUAACUCCGAAACUGCAUUCGAUACUGCCGUGCUUGAGGACUGGAGAGGAGACUGGAAUUUACGGUGUAGCGGUGAAAUGCGUAGAUAUCUGGAGGAACACCGGUGGCGAAGGCGGCAUCCUGGACCAAUAUUGACGCUGAGGAGCGAAAGCCAGGGGAGCAAACGGG